rnacentral:rRNA from 1 species
ACACUCCUACGGGAGGCAGCAGUGGGGAAUUUUGGACAAUGGGCGAAAGCCUGAUCCAGCAAUGCCGCGUGAGUGAAGAAGGCCUUCGGGUUGUAAAGCUCUUUUGUCAGGGAAGAAACGGUGAGAGCUAAUAUCUCUUGCUAAUGACGGUACCUGGAGAAUAAGCACAGGCUAACUACGUGCCAGCAGCCGCGGUAAUACGUAGGGUGCAAGCGUUAAUCGGAAUUACUGGGCGUAAAGCGUGCGCAGGCGGUUUUGUAAGUCUGAUGUGAAAUCCCCGGGCUCAACCUGGGAAUUGCAUUGGAGACUGCAAGGCUAGAAUCUGGCAGAGGGGGGUAGAAUUCCACGUGUAGCAGUGAAAUGCGUAGAUAUGUGGAUGAACACCGAUGGCGAAGGCAGCCCCCUGGGUCAAGAUUGACGCUCAUGCACGAAAGCGUGGGGAGCAAACAGGAUUAGAAACCCGGGUAGUCCCAUGA